rnacentral:misc_RNA from 1 species
GUUUAGCCCUGAUUGAGCGGUAUGUUUGAGCUCAUUUUAUUAGAUUUUGCGCGGCGGCUCCAUCGCCGUGCAAAAUCUAAUAAAAUAGCGAGUAGCGAAAGCAGGUUCCCGG